GAGUUUGAUCGUGGCUCAGAUUGAACGCUGGCGGCAUGCCUUACACAUGCAAGUCAAACGGCAGCACGGGAGCUUGCUCCUGGUGGCGAGUGGCGAACGGGUGAGUAAUGCAUCGGAACGUAUCCUGGAGUGGGGGAUAACGUAGCGAAAGUUACGCUAAUACCGCAUAUUCUGUGAGCAGGAAAGCGGGGGACCUUCGGGCCUCGCGCUCUUGGAGCGGCCGAUGUCGGAUUAGCUAGUUGGUGAGGU
rnacentral:rRNA from 1 species